GUGCUUGCUUUGGCAGCACAUACACUGAAAUUGGAACGGUAUAGAGACAAUCAGCAUGGCACCUGCACUAGGACGGCAUGCAGAUUUGUGAAGGGUUCCCUAUUUUU